rnacentral:lncRNA from 1 species
UCAUUGUCGUUUUUGUUGUCCAAGAGCCUUGUAAAAUUAAUGAAGGAAUAUAGAAUAGUGUAUGUGUGUGUGGUGUGAGUGAUAGUGUUUGAUUGUUGAUUUCGGAGGGCUUUAGGGUCCAGCCCUUACUGUGCUUGAAAAGCUUUUGCGAAAACUCACAUAAAACUGUUGUUGUUUUCGAAAGUAGUAGCCACUGUUCUGUUAAAAUCGUAUGUUUCGGUUAAUAUUUUCGAACUGUGUUCUU